rnacentral:rRNA from 1 species
UGGUGGAGUGAUUUGUCUGGUUAAUUCCGAUAACGAACGAGACUCUAGCCUGCUAAAUAGACGGGCGAUCCCUUCGUGGGUCGACCCGAUUUGCUUCUUAGAGGGACAAGUGGCGUUCCUAGCCACGCGAAAUGAGCAAUAACA